GCCGGGCGUUGUGGCGGGCGCCUGUGGUCCCAGCUACUUGGGAGGCAGAGGCAAGAGACUCGCUUGAGCCCAGGAGUUGGAGGUUGCUGUGAGCUGUAAUGCCAGGGCACUCUACCCAGGGGGACAGCUUGAGGCUCUGUCUCAAAAAAAAAAAAAAAAAAAGAUUUGUUUUUGUUGUUUUUUAAGACAAGAGUCUUACUCUGUCACCCUGGAUAGAGCAUCAUGUCAUGACAGCUCACAGCAACCUCAAACUCCUGGGGUCAAGUGAUUUCUCCAGCCU
rnacentral:sRNA from 1 species